UACGUAGGGGGCAAGCGUUGUCCGGAAUCAUUGGGCGUAAAGAGCGUGUAGGCGGCCCGGUAAGUCCGCUGUGAAAGUCGGGGGCUCAACCCUCGAAUGCCGGUGGAUACUGUCGGGCUAGAGUGCGGAAGAGGCGAGUGGAAUUCCUGGUGUAGCGGUGAAAUGCGCAGAUAUCGGGAGGAACACCAAUGGCGAAGGCAGCUCGCUGGGACGGUACUGACGCUGAGACGCGAAAGCGUGGGGAGCAAAC
rnacentral:rRNA from 1 species